CCUACGGGUGGCUGCAGUCGAGAAUCAUUCACAAUGGGGGAAACCCUGAUGGUGCGACGCCGCGUGGGGGAAUGAAGGUCUUCGGAUUGUAAACCCCUGUCAUGUGGGAGCAAAUUAAAAAGAUAGUACCACAAGAGGAAGAGACGGCUAACUCUGUGCCAGCAGCCGCGGUAAUACAGAGGUCUCAAGCGUUGUUCGGAAUCACUGGGCGUAAAGCGUGCGUAGGCUGUUUCGGAAGUAGUGUGUGAAAGGCGCGGGCUCAACCCGCGGACGGCACAUGAUACUGCGAGACUAGAGUAAGGGAGGGGGAACCGGAAUUCUCGGUGUAGCAGUGAAAUGCGUAGAUAUCGAGAGGAACACUCGUGGCGAAGGCGGGUUCCUGGACAUUAACUGACGCUGAGGCACGAAGGCCAGGGGAGCGAAAGGGAUUAGAUACCCCUGUAGUC
rnacentral:rRNA from 1 species